rnacentral:rRNA from 1 species
UACGAAGGGGGCUAGCGUUGUUCGGAAUUACUGGGCGUAAAGCGCGUGUAGGCGGGUCUUUAAGUCAGGGGUGAAAUGCCAAGGCUCAACCUUGGAACUGCCUUUGAUACUGGAGAUCUUGAGUCCGGGAGAGGUGAGUGGAACUGCGAGUGUAGAGGUGAAAUUCGUAGAUAUUCGCAAGAACACCAGUGGCGAAGGCGGCUCACUGGCCCGGAACUGACGCUGAGACGCGAAAGCGUGUGGAGCAAACAGG